UCGGAUUGUAGUCUGCAACCCGACUACAUGAAGCUGGAAUCGCUAGUAAUCGCGGAUCAGAAUGCCGCGGUGAAUACGUUCCCGGGUCUUGUACACACCGCCCGUCACACCAUGGGAGUCGGAAAUGCCCGAAGUCUGUGACCCAACCUACGGGAGGGAGCAGCCGAAGGCAGGUCGGAUGACUGGGGUGAAGUCGUAACAAGGUAGC
rnacentral:rRNA from 1 species